rnacentral:rRNA from 1 species
GACGAACCGUGCAAACGUUAUUCGGAAUCACUGGGCAUAAAGGGCGCGUAGGCGGCUUCAUAAGUCAGGGGUGAAAUCCGGCAGCUUAACUGUCGCAGUGCCUUUGAUACUGUGGAGCUCGAGGGAGGUAGGGGUCUGUGGAACUUCCGGUGGAGCGGUGAAAUGCGUUGAUAUCGGAAGGAACGCCGGUGGCGAAAGCGACGGACUGGAUCUCUUCUGACGCUGAGGCGCGAAAAGCCAGGGGAGCAAACGGG